GAUCCCUGGCUCAGGAUGAACGCUAGCUACAGGCUUAACACAUGCAAGUCGAGGGGCAGCAUUUUAGUUUGCUUGCAAACUGAAGAUGGCGACCGGCGCACGGGUGAGUAACACGUAUCCAACCUGCCGAUAACUCUGGAAUAGCCUUUCGAAAGAAAGAUUAAUACCGGAUGGCAUACGAAUAUCGCAUGAUAUUUUUAUUAAAGAAUUUCGGUUAUCGAUGGGGAUGCGUUCCAUUAG
rnacentral:rRNA from 1 species